rnacentral:rRNA from 1 species
UACGUAGGGUGCAAGCGUUAAUCGGAAUUACUGGGCGUAAAGCGUGCGCAGGCGGCUUUGCAAGACAGAUGUGAAAUCCCCGGGCUUAACCUGGGAACUGCAUUUGUGACUGCAUGGCUGGAGUGCGGCAGAGGGGGAUGGAAUUCCGCGUGUAGCAGUGAAAUGCGUAGAGAUGUGGAGGAACACCGAUGGCGAAGGCAGCCCCCCUGGGCUAACACUGACGCUCAUGCACGAAAGCGUGGGGAGCAAACAGG